UACGAAGGGGGCUAGCGUUGUUCGGAAUCACUGGGCGUAAAGCGCACGUAGGCGGAUUUUUAAGUCAGGGGUGAAAUCCCGAGGCUCAACCUCGGAACUGCCUUUGAUACUGAGGAUCUGGAGUCCGGGAGAGGUGAGCGGAACUGCGAGUGUAGAGGUGAAAUUCGUAGAUAUUCGCAAGAGCACCAGUGGCGAAGGCGGCUCACUGGCCCGGAACUGACGCUGAGGUGCGAAAGCGUGGGGAGCAAACAGG
rnacentral:rRNA from 1 species